AUGUCAGUCCAAGCCGAGGGCGCGGCAGGCGCGGAGAGGAUAGCGCCCCGCGACUCGCUCUACGGGGACGCGGAGAAGGUCUCCGACGACAAGCACCACGGCUUCGCGGCGGGCUGGUGGCAGACGCUGCAGCUGGCGUUCCAGAGCAUCGGCGUGGUGUACGGCGACGUGGGGACGUCGCCGCUGUACGUGUACUCGAGCACCUUCCCGGGCGGCAUCCGGCACCCGGACGACCUCCUCGGCGUCCUAUCCCUCAUCCUCUACACCCUCGUCCUCCUGCCCAUGCUCAAGUACGUCUUCAUCGUCCUCUACGCCAACGACAACGGCGACGGAGGAACGUUCGCCCUCUACUCGCUGAUCUCCCGGUACGCCAAGAUACGGAUGAUCCCGAACCAGCAGGCCGAGGACGCGUCCGUGUCCAACUACAGCAUGGAGGAGCCCAACUCCCAGAUGAGGAGGGCGCAGUGGGUGAAGCACAGGCUCGAGUCCAGCAAAGCCGCAAAGAUCGCGCUCUUCACCAUCACCAUCCUCGGCACCUCCAUGGUCAUGGGCGACGGCACCCUCACACCCGCAAUCUCUGUACUCUCUGCGGUGAGCGGGAUCAGGGAGAAAGCGCCCAACUUGACGCAAUCGGAAGUGGUGUGGAUCUCGGUGGCCAUCCUGUUCCUGCUCUUCUCGGUGCAGCGCUUUGGGACGGACAAGGUCGGCUACUCCUUCGCGCCGAUCAUCUCGGUGUGGUUCAUCUUCAUCGCCGGUAUCGGGGCGUACAACCUCGCUGCCCACGACGUCACCGUCCUCAGGGCCUUCAACCCCAAGUACAUAGUAGACUACUUCGGGAGGAACGGCAAGGAGGCAUGGGUCUCGCUCGGGGGCGUCGUCCUCUGCAUCACAGGCACGGAGGCCAUGUUCGCGGACCUUGGCCAUUUCAACAUCAGGGCCAUUCAGCUGAGCUUCACCUUCAUCCUCUUCCCCUCCGUCGCACUGUGCUACAUGGGUCAGGCAUCCUACCUGCGCAAAUUCCCACAAGACGUCGGCGACACCUUCUACAAAUCUAUCCCAGCGGCGAUGUUUUGGCCGACGUUCAUCGUGGCAAUCAUGGCGGCCAUCAUCGCGAGCCAGGCCAUGCUGUCCGGCGCGUUCGCCAUCCUGUCCAAGGCGCUCUCCCUGGGCUGCUUCCCGAGGGUAAAGGUGGUGCACACCUCCAAGAAGUACUCGGGGCAGGUGUACAUCCCGGAGGUGAACUUCCUCAUCGGCGCCGCCAGCAUCAUCGUCACCCUCGCCUUCCAGACCACCACCAACAUCGGCAACGCCUACGGGAUAUGCGUCGUGACGGUCUUCUCCAUCACGACGCACCUCAUGACGGUGGUGAUGCUGCUCAUCUGGAAGAAGAACAUCGCCUUCGUCGUGGGCUUCUACAUCAUCUUCGGGCUCGCCGAGUUCCUCUACCUGUCGUCCAUCCUCUCCAAAUUUGUCGAGGGAGGGUACCUUCCCUUCUGCUUCUCCCUGGUGCUCAUGGCGCUCAUGGCCACAUGGCACUACGUCUACGUCAAGCGCUACUGGUACGAGCUCGACCGGGUGGUGCCAGCGGCCGAGCUCACGGCGCUCUUGGCCCGCCGCAACGUGCAGCGGGUGCCCGGCGUGGGCCUUCUCUACUCGGAGCUUGUCCAGGGCAUCCCUCCCGUUUUCCCAUGCCUGGUUGACAAAAUCCCAUCGGUGCAUGCAGUCUUCGUCUUCAUGUCCAUCAAGAACCUCCCCAUCCCACGGGUGGCGCUGCCCGAGCGCUUCAUCUUCCGUAGGGUCGGCCCCGCCGAGCACCGCAUGUUCCGCUGCGUGGCGCGGUACGGUUACACUGAUCAGAUCGAGGGCACCAAGGAGUUCUCGGCGUUCCUCAUCGAGGGCCUCAAGUUGUUCGUCCACGAUGAGGCGGCCUUCUCCUGCCCGCACACCGACAAUGGCGGCGAUAACAACAACAACAACGACGACAACGAUGCUCGGCGGUUAGAGCAGGCGGUGGUUGCAGAGGAGGAGAAGCGGUUCAUCGACGCGGAGGUGGAGCGUGGGGUGGUGUACCUGAUGGGCGAGGCGGAGGUGGCGGCAGCGCCGGGGUCGUCGGGGUUGAAGAGGAUCGUGGUCAACUACGUGUACACCUUCUUGAGGAAGAACCUCAGCGAGAGCCACAAAGCGCUCUCCAUCCCCAAGGACCAGCUGCUCAAGGUCGGGAUCACCUAUGAGAUAUAG
rnacentral:rRNA from 1 species